GCGCUAGCGCAGUAUGGAACUUAAAAAAGUAUUUAUGGUUGUUUUACAACAUAUUAGCCGGUAAGCGCAGCGGACUUAAAAUCCGCAUCCCGAAAGGAGGUGUGGGUUCGAGUCCCACCGUCCGCACCA
rnacentral:tRNA from 1 species